AGUAUAGUGCCUGAAAAAGGAUAAUUUUGAUAGAAUUAAAUAUGUAGGUUUUACCUACCUAUACUU
rnacentral:tRNA from 1 species